AACCUAGCACACCUGCGGUGUGUACCUGCGGAGGGAUCAUUACUGAGUUUACCGCUCUAUAACCCUUUGUGAACAUACCUUACUGUUGCUUCGGCGGGCAGGACGGCGGCCUCGGCCCCGGCCUCCCGGCCUCCGCCCCCUCUGCGGGGCGGCGGGCGCCCGCCGGAGGAUAACCAAACUCUGUUUUAACGUCGUCUCUUCUGAGUGGCACAAGCAAAUAAAUAAAAACUUUCAACAAUG
rnacentral:misc_RNA from 1 species